rnacentral:rRNA from 1 species
AUACAGUUGCAUGCUUCGCCGACCUGCGGCAGGACAUUA